rnacentral:rRNA from 1 species
AUGUCGCUUACUGGUCAGGUGAAGUGGUUCAACGAAUCCAAGGGGUUCGGCUUCAUCACCCCCUCGGACGGCAGCAAGGACGUCUUCGUCCACUACUCGGCAAUCGCUGGCCCCGGCCUCCGGAACCUCGCCGAGGGCCAGAAUGUCGAAUUCACCAUCGAGAACGGCCCAAAAGGUCCGACCGCCGCCAAUGUCAAGGCCAUAUAG